rnacentral:rRNA from 1 species
AUUGAACGCUGGCGGCAUGCCUUACACAUGCAAGUCGAACGGCAGCACGGGGGCAACCCUGGUGGCGAGUGGCGAACGGGUGAGUAACACAUCGGAACGUGCCCAGUAGUGGGGGAUAGCUCGGCGAAAGCCGGAUUAAUACCGCAUACGACCUACGGGUGAAAGCGGGGGAUCGCAAGACCUCGCGCUAUCGGAGCGGCCGAUGUCAGAUUAGGUUGUUGGNGGGGUAAAGGCCUACCAAGCCGACGAUCUGUAGCUGGUCUGAGAGGACGACCAGCCACACUGGGACUGAGACACGGCCCAGACUCCUACGGGAGGCAGCAGUGGGGAAUUUGGACAAUGGGCGCAAGCCUGAUCCAGCCAUGCCGCGUGCGGGAAGAAGGCC